GGCCAGACUCCUACGGGAGGCAGCAGUGGGGGAUAUUGCACAAUGGAGGAAACUCUGAUGCAGCGACGCCGCGUGAGGGAAGACGGUCUUCGGAUUGUAAACCUCUGUCUUUGGGGAAGAAAAUGACGGUACCCAAAGAGGAAGCUCCGGCUAACUACGUGCCAGCAGCCGCGGUAAUACGUAGGGAGCGAGCGUUGUCCGGAAUUACUGGGUGUAAAGGGAGCGUAGGCGGGCGAGAAAGUUGAAUGUUAAAUCUACCGGCUUAACUGGUAGCUGCGUUCAAAACUUCUUGUCUUGAGUGGAGUAGUGGCAGGCGGAAUUCCUAGUGUAGCGGUGAAAUGCAUAGAUAUCGCGCAGAACUCCGAUUGCGAAGGCAGCGUACCGGCGCCGGACUGACGCUGAGGCACGAAAGCGUGGGUAUCGAACAGGAUUAGAUACCCCGGUAU
rnacentral:rRNA from 1 species